AUACGUAGGGGGCGAGCGUUGUCCGAAUUCACUGGGCGUAAAGCGCGCGUAGGCGGGCUAUUAAGUUGGGGGUGAAAUCCCAGGGCUCAACCCUGGAACUGCCUUCAAAACUGGUAGCCUUGAGGUAUGGAGAGGGAAGUGGAAUUCCUGGUGUAGCGGUGAAAUGCGUAGAUAUCAGGAGGAACACCCGUGGCGAAGGCGGCUUCCUGGCCAUAUCCUGACGCUGAGGUGCGAAAGCCAGGGUAGCGAACGGGAUUAGAUACCCCGGUAGUCCUGGCCGUAAACGAUGGAUACUAGGUGUUAGUGGUAUCGACCCCACUAGUGCCGGAGUUAACGCAUUAAGUAUCCCGCCUGGGAAGUACGACCGCAAGGUUGAA
rnacentral:rRNA from 1 species